rnacentral:lncRNA from 1 species
GCUAUAAUAGAAUACAUGAGACUUGACAAUUUAAAAUGAACAGAUAUUUAUCGGCUCAGAGUUCUGGAGGCUGGGAAGUACAAUAUCAAGAUGCUGGCUGUUUGCGAGGGUCUUCUUGCUACAUCAUUUCAUGGCAGAAGUUGCUGUGGUUCUCAUGGAAUAGACUAAUCAAAAGUGGGAAGGAAUUAAAGUUGGGGCCAGGCGGUUUUGGAACAUCGACAUAACAUUUGAUUUGGAUGGCAAAUCGUCUUUCUGCAAUUGUUUUAUGGCUGCCAUUGCAAUUAAGAAAUGGAAAAUAAAUUUCUGAAAUCCAACAAAGUCUGAUCUUAUCAGCAUCAGAACCAUGUAUGGAAAAAUCCUCAUAAGUGGAGCGGUUGAACCUUGGAAAUAUAUCAGCCUUCGAAAAUUGCAGCUGGAGACAUCUGUCAUUUGUGAGAGUGAAGGUUUAGUUGGCUUCAUACCUGAGCUAGGGGUUCUUGAGAU